UCAGGACGAACGCUGGCGGCGUGCUUAACACAUGCAAGUCGAACGAUGAUGCCCAGCUUGCUGGGCGGAUUAGUGGCGAACGGGUGAGUAACACGUGGGUGAUCUGCCCUGCACUUCGGGAUAAGCCUGGGAAACUGGGUCUAAUACCGGAUAUGACCACAGGAUGCAUGUUUUGUGGUGGAAAGGUUUACUGGUGCAGGAUGAGCCCGCGGCCUAUCAGCUUGUUGGUGGGGUAAUGGCCUACCAAGGCGACGACGGGUAGCCGGCCUGAGAGGGCGACCGGCCACACUGGGACUGAGACACGGCCCAGACUCCUACGGGAGGCAGCAGUGGGGAAUAUUGCACAAUGGGCGAAAGCCUGAUGCAGCGACGCCGCGUGAGGGAUGACGGCCUUCGGGUUGUAAACCUCUUUCAGCAGGGACGAAG
rnacentral:rRNA from 1 species